GUGGGGGGCCGUGUCCCCCAGGGCACUACUGCACGGUGGGGAGCAGUAGAGCACAGCCAUGCCCCGCAGGGAGCUACAGCCCAUUCUGGGGAAAGGUGCAGUGUUUGGAGUGCCCAGAAGGCUUUUACUGUAAGGCUGGUUCCACCAAUUACACAGACUGUCCCGCAGGACAUUACUGCCCAAGGAAUACGGAGUUUGCCACACAGUAUCCCUGUCCACAAGGAACCUACAGCCAGGACUUAAACAUGAGGGAUGCCUCCAAGUGCCAGCUGUGUCCCCCUGGAAAAGUCUGCUCCAAAUCAGGCUUGACGAGUCCUGACGGACCAUGCAUGCCUGGAUGGUUUUGUCCACCCGGAUCAGCGUCAGGCGAGCCAAAAUUCCUAGCAGGGUCAGAAGCUUCACCUCACGGGUCCUUCAGACUGUGCCAAGCAGGAACGUUUUGUCCUGGUGGCUCAUCCCUUCCUAUUCCC